UACCGUCCCUAUAGACCAGCGUCCCGGGACAGAGAGCGGAGAGGAGAUGGGUGGAGACCGGAUCUGGAAGGGCCUGUGGAAACUAUCCCUGGAAAAAACAGGAAAUAUGGUUUCAGCUAGAAUGUUCUUAGAGAACCAGUCCAUGCACUUGAAGCUUUUUUCAAAGGGACCUGCGGAGGCAGAAGCUGUCCCUCGUCCACACACUGUGGGAGCGAUGCCAACACGGAGCUGGCCAUCAAUCCAUUUCUGUUGAAGAGGGGAAUGAGCGAACAAAAGAGCAGGAAUGAGCAGGAGACUGUAGCAAGGUCAGCAUUUAAUUUAAGAAACCUUAUCUUGUGCGUCAAGAUCGGAGAUAAAAACGAUUCCUUUCUUCAUCCUUCUCAAAUGGUCAUAAAUCUUUUUUAUGGGCCACAGAAACCACUUGCCAGUCUCACAACUCAGGAUUGUGUCCUCAAAGACCUGGGGGCCAUCUCUUUGUCUGUAAUCAUCAAGGAAGGUAACACCCCGUUUCCCCAGGGGGGGAUGCACCUAAGUUUCACCUGACUCCACCUUUCGAAACCUGCUUAAUGUAAACGACUUAUCCACUUAGCUAUGAAGAGAGAUGCUUUCUGUCUUUGCAACCCUUCUGGCUGCUGGCCUGUGAUGCUCAUCACAUUCCAGUUUAAUGUGGUUCCGUAAUAAACCUGUUUUCUUUCUCUCCUACCUUCGUGGAGGGGUUUUGGGGGUCAGGAGUCAAUUUUGUUUUUAUUAUAUUCCCCAUACUUUGUCCAGCAUCAGCGACAUGAUUUUCACAUUAAAGACAAGUAGGGAGACACGAAAUCCUAUUGACCCAACAAAGGUGGUCCAGACCCAGCCUUCUGCAGCUUCUCUCCCAGAUUCCUAACCAUUGAUAUUCCCCUUGUGGGCUCUUAUCUGAACAGAACACACUCCAUGAGCAUCAGAAUAUUGAACCCAAAGCUAUGGGGACAGAAUUUUGGAAGUGACCUGAGAGAGCUAGUGAGAGCUGGUGAUGGUCCAUCUCCAACCUGAGAGGCCAGGGAACAACCCAGUGUGGUGACAGUCCUCUGAACUGCAUCACUCCAGGGUGACUUCAGAUCCCUUGUUCAGUCCUGGGUUUGUGCCCUGCCCUGGGGUGCGGCUGUCCUCUCAGCAAUUAAGGAGUCCCUCCCACCACACAGGACAUAAUUAUACGCUUCAAGAUACUCCCCUCCCAGAACUGCCGGGGGUCCUUACCCUGAAUCACACCCCGGAACUUGCAUGAAUUGGAGCUGCAUAAGCUUUAACCAGCAUCUUCUCUAGAGAUGCAGAGUCAUCUGGGAAGGCUCUGCAGGCAUAUCACACCUUAAUCAGGUCGCCUUUUGCAGUUGGCCACCAAGACCCCGUACUUGGAGAUGGAGUUUUAGAAGGAGAAGGGGAGGGCUGAAGAAAGAUUGAUUAAGGAAGAAGUUAUUUUAGGGCUGGGCAUGUAAGCAGGUGCAUGGGCAGGGAGAGGCAUCUCAGGACAUUCAUGGACAGCUCGGAAGCCAGCCUGCGGGGCAAGUUAGUCCUGUAGGCGGUCAGAUCACUGCCUCUAGCAACCAGUCCAGGGAGCGAGACAACAACCACUUGAGCAGUUGGGCAAAAAUGGUCAGGACUUGACAAAGAGCUGCAAGCUUCCCUUUUGGACCCUCUUCCAACUUAGCACCAAUCCGAGAAAACCAAAUGUGCACCCUAAUCCAUCAUCCCGAUGGAUAGGACACCCCGAUUCUAGUUAGCCCGCCUCCAGCCUCCCCAGGCCAGCAGCCUCCAAUCAGGGCACCCCCGGAACCUUCCCUUUGAGCUUCCCGUCUCUGCCAAACCCAAGUGCUAGUGUCCAGCUCCCUUGCUCCAGCCAGCGCUGCAUGAGUAGUCUCCACUGUUCUGGUUUGGUUGGUCUUCAUUUAUUUCCAUAGAGGUAAGACCAACUUCUCUUGUCUCGGGAGAGAGAAGAUGCCGUCCAGCCUGGCGGAUGGGGGGCCUGGGGCGGGGGUGCGGAGUGACAGGGCAAUGUCCUUCCUUCCUGCCAAGGUGAGUCUGUAUGACAUGUCCAGGGGGCCAGAGAUGAUUUUUAGGAUGGAGCAAAGUGAGUGGUCGCCACAGGCUGAGGCUUAUGAAAGACGUCAUGGCAUGUGUCACCUGUCAGCUUCCAGAAUCCCGACACUGCCUUACCUGACAGGCCUGCCAAGCGUCCCAGCCCGCCCUCCCCCGAUGAGGAGAGGGUCUGACAGGAGCCUGGGGUGGCUUUCACAUGUUCUGGAAGCACCUACCCCACAGGGAUACUCCAGUUACUCCGGCCUCAGACCUGGGGGGGUCAUUUUGGUGCUGCAUGGGAAGGGACGCACUGGCCCGUCUCCUUUGGAAAGCAAACAGAGGUCCCACCAGAGGUCAUCCUGGAAGCAGGAGGAAACCACGAUGGACGACCCUCACAGCAUCAGUAGGACUCUGCUUGGCAAGCCCUUGGGGGAAUCUGAUGCCUGGUGAGACGGAUGACCAGAUACAAACCACAGGCUGCCUCUUCUCUGCCACCCACCCUUCAGACAAAGGCUGAGUCAGCUUCCCAACAGAAACAGUGACUCAGACCCCGCGGGAUAGAGCUGCAGACACUUUCUCCAGCUCUUCCUUCGUGAAAUGGAAGAACUUUCCAUGAAAAUAUUCAGAGGAGGUGACCCUUGCCCUCAUCCUUUAUGCUAAAGCCUUUGGGAAGAGACUCCCAUUUCCUUAAAAGUGAUUCUUGCACAUUAUGAGAGAGUGUGAACUCAGCCAUGUCGGAUGUUCCGGGGAUUAGAAAGACACACACCAGACCAGGCCCCCAAAUGUGUGUACCUAUCAGAGAUUAGAUUGGACUAGACGUCCUGGCUAACGCCAGUAUUGUUCUUCUCUUGUUUGUUCUUGGUACUGCCCACAAAAGUCCUGGAGGCCUUACAGAAUUAAGGCCCCGCAUGAAAGGAAAGACAUCCACAAAGCAGAUGCCAACAAACAUCUAUGUGGCUGGAACCACUGCGUACCAGCGAUGUUUCGAUUUCAUCUUGUCAUCAAAAUGUAGCCAAAAAUGGAUUGAGGGCCAUCCCAGUUGGCUGGUGACAGCAGUGAUGUCUGUUUGGUCUGAGAACGUUCUCGAAAUGACACCCAUGUGAAUACUUAACCCGGCGAAUGCCCUGGAUGCCACUUUGCAGACCUUUCUUGACUUAGGAGAAAUGUUUUCAAAAGUCCCUCCGAGGAGACGUGUGGAGCAUUAUUAUCAAACUCGCUGUCUCUCUCAUUCUGUUCCAAGCCCCUUUUGGUACAAGUACAAUGUUGAAGCUAUUAUCAGCCCGGGAGACUUUCUCAGCCUGGCUCAUUUGUCACUGUCUGUCACACGCUGGAAUUCUUUCACUUCCUGUUCCAUUCUUGUGCUUACGCAUCUUAAUGCUCCCUGUCUAUCACUGAACCUUAUUUUAGCCAAUACGGGUUUGCGGUGGAAUUAAAACUCCAUCAGGAGGAAAGACAACACUGUCUCGAGCUUACCACCGGAGGCUGCUAAGCAUUCAGAUCCUGGGGUUCUCUUAGAGGCUCUCGGGCAAGGGGUGAGCCUCCUCUGACCUGGACACGAGCGCCCCUGGAGCCCACAUCCGUCUAAUGAUACGAAGAUGCUCUGAUAAGAACAAUUUACCAACUGAAGGGCAGUGGGUCGAGAAUAGUUUUUUUUUAUUAUAAUGAGGCAGUGUACAGCUUUUUCUUAAGAACAAAUGGUAACUCCCAGGCUAGGUCAUAUUCUUUCCUCAUUUGGUCUGGAAAUGUCAGAGAGCCUGAAUGAUUAAUGGAAGAUCUCGGGAAAGGCUCGGGGCUCAGCCAGCGCUUCACCAUGUACUGCGGGGAGAGAGUUAUAACCACUCUUGGCCUCAGCUUUGCCAGCUUGCUUGCUCUUAGUCAUUUUGCAGAAUACAGUACAAUUUCCAAAGUGAAUGAAGGGGAUGCUUCCGGGGUUGGGACAGACCCAGCAGAUACAAAGCAGUGGCCAGUUCUAGAUCAACCCAAGAGAGGGCUGAGUGCUAACUGUCUACACUGUGCAAAAGCCAUCGACGUCAGACUUUUCUACCAAAAUGGUUUCUUGAGAUCAAUUUCUUGCAUCACUAAGCAUCAUACAAAAAAUUCUUUUUAGGCUUCCCCUGGCAACAAGCACGUGUCCAUCACACGGAUACUUGCACAUGGCUCUGCCAGAGUUAUUCAUGGGACUCUGAGCCCCUCUGCCUCAGCCCCAUCAGGAGCAGAGCACACCCACGGACUCCUGUCUCUGCCUUCAGUUUUACUCGCUCCCCUAUGAGCACAGGGCAAUGCUUUCCCUUUGCUGCCUUUGCACCCAGAGUGUAAAGCAUACAGAAUACCAAGUCCUUCUGGGGGCACCUGGGUGGCUCAGUCGGUUAAGCGUCUGCCUUUGGCUCAAGUCAUGAUCUCAGGGUCCUGAGAUCGAGCCCCGCAUCGGGCUCUCCACUCAGUGGUGAGUCUGCUUCUCCCUCUCCCACUCCCUCUGUGAUCUCCCGCUUUCUCUCUUUCUCAAAUAAAUAAAUAAAAUCUUAAAAAAGAAAAAGAAUAUCAAGUCCUUCCAUUCAAGGACCCGUUUUGGUGGUGGAAUCCCCAUUCAUCAGUGUCACAACUCCAAAUUACGUAGUCCCCGGACCUCGCCUGCCAUUAUUUUUGAAGACUUUCUCCAUGUUUGAGCCCUGCACUUCUCCCUGGACUUUGCUAUCGCUGUGACGACUAGCGUGCAAGACUUCCUUAGCUACAGACUGUCCCCGUCCAGCCUUGGGUAUCACCCGACCCAAUACACUGGAGCUCCUAGACCCCCGGUCCUCGUCUGCCCAACAUCACCGCCUCCUGGCUUCUGGCCUCAGCGUGACCAAGGGGAGGAGGAGCUCCCGGGCCAGGCCAGGCAUGAGGUUGCCUCAGAGCCAUUGUCGGCAUCUCCAAGAGGGGGCCUCACAAAGCCAGGCAAUCAUGACCGCUGUCUCCCAAGCUCAGUGGUUCUCCAAGGGUGGUCCCUGGAUCAGCGGCAGCAUCUGAGAACGAGUUAAAACGCACAGCUGGGAAUUCUCCCCGGAGCCACUGCUCUUCCUCUUCCCCUAAGCGGCCUGAGGUGACCUCUGAAAAUGGUUCGCUAUUCGCUUGACCCAGAAAACCCUACACAAUCAUGUAAAUCAAGAGGCUCAGAUCUUCGUGUUCACUUUAAGAACGCACGUGAAACUGCCCAGGCCAUCAAGGGUAUGCGUAUCCGAAAAGCCACCAAGUACCUGAAAGACAUCACUUUACAGAAGCAGGGUGUGCCAUUCCAUCGCUACAAUGGUGGAGCUGGUUGGUGUGCCCAGGCCGAACAGUGGGGGUGGACACAGGGUCGGUGGCCCACGAAGAGUGCUGAAUUUUUACUGCACAUGCUCAAAAAUGCAGAGAGUAAUGCUGAACUUAAGGGUUUAGAUGCUGAUUCUCUGGUCACUGAGCACAUCCAGGUGAACAAGCCCCCAAAAUGCAGCGUAGAAUGUACAGGGCUCGUGGUCGGAUUAACCCAUACAUGAGCUCUCCCUGCCACACUGAGAUGAUCCUUACUGAAAGAGCAGAUUGUUCCCAAACCAGAAGAGGAGGUUGCACAGAAGAAAAAGAUAGCCCAGAAGAAACUGAAGAAACAAAAACUUAGGGCCCGGGAGUAAAUUCUGCACAGAAUAAAUGCAAAUGCAAAUGCAAAUAAAAUAAAUAAAUCAAUAAAACGCACAGCUGUACUCAAUCAAACUCUGGGCGUGAGGCCAGAAAUGGGUGCUUUCACAAGCCCUGCAGGUGAUUUUGAUGCACGCAGGUGAAGUGGGCCGCGGGCGGGGGCGGGAGAUUCAAGGAAGGCUCUGCCGACAUAUUGUGCCCUUUACACGCCCCCUUGUGAUCCAGACGGUCGCCUGGAGGGUUCAGAGCCCUCAGCUGGCCCACGGGGCUGCCAGGCCAUGACCUUAGCCCUGGAUUUCUGGACUGCAGCAGGAAGUCAUCCCAGAUACCCAACCAACCAAGGACAACGGGCCAAGAUUUCCUGAAACGAGACAAAGGGGAUGCAGCGCACCCAGCCUGCGUCACCACCACCUCCCAGCACCCCCACCACCCUGGCUGGAAGGCCACCGUGCUGUUCUGCUCCAGGAAACGCAUCCUGUGUCACAGUGGCCCCAAAGGCCCACCCAAGGCCGACCGUGGCUGAGCAAGGCUGACCUGGGAAAUCCAGGAUUGGAGGUAAGUUCCCCAAUUUUGAGUUUUAUGCAUCCAGUAAUCACUGAAGAGGGGCAUAUUGCCUUGCCCCUAAAAAAACAAAACAAAAACAAAACAAAACAUAGCAUGAGCACUCCAAGACACCUGGGAAGAUGAAGGUUAGACUAAAUCCCCGUGUCAAGUUAAUAAUGAGGUAUUUUACAUUUAUUAGCUUUUUACG